rnacentral:rRNA from 1 species
AGAGUUUGAUCCUGGCUCAGAACGAACGCUGGCGGCAGGCCUAACACAUGCAAGUCGAGCGAGGUAGCAAUACCUAGCGGCGGACGGGUGAGUAACGCGUGGGAACGUGCCCCUUGGUACGGAAUAGCCCCAGGAAACUGGGAGUAAUACCGUAUGAGCUCUACGGAGGAAAGAUUUAUCGCCAAGGGAUCGGCCCGCGUUGGAUUAGGUAGUUGGUGGGGUAAUGGCCUACCAAGCCGACGAUCCAUAGCUGGUUUGAGAGGAUGAUCAGCCACACUGGGACUGAGACACGGCCCAGACUCCUACGGGAGGCAGCAGUGGGGAAUCUUAGACAAUGGGCGCAAGCCUGAUCUAGCCAUGCCGCGUGAGCGAUGAAGGCCUUAGGGUUGUAAAGCUCUUCAGCGAGGAAGAU